UAACGACUCUCGGCAAUGGAUAUCUCGGCUCUCG
rnacentral:rRNA from 1 species